GCAACUAAGCGCAUACGGUGGAUGCCUUGGCAAUUGGAGGCGAUGAAAGACGUUGGAGCCUGCGAAAAGCUCUGGGGAGGUGGCAACCAACCUUUGAUCCAGAGAUGUCUGAAUGGGGAAACCCACCUAUCAUAAGAUAGGUAUCCUUUGACUGAAUACAUAGGUCUUAGGAGGCGAACCAGGGGAACUGAAACAUCUAAGUACCCUUAGGAAAAGAAAUCAACUGAGAUUCCCCAAGUAGCGGCGAGCGAACGGGGAGCAGCCGAGU
rnacentral:rRNA from 1 species